CCUGCUCAAUGUUAUUAUAUAAAUAGCUGCGAUUUUAUUGUACUAAGGUAGCAUAAUAAUUUGCCUUUUAAUUAAAGGAUUGUAUGAAUGGGUUAAUAAAGAAAAUACUGUCUCUAUUUUUUAAAUAAAAAUUAAUAUUAAAGUGAAAAAGCUUUAUUAAAAUAAAAAGACAAAAAGACCCUAUUGAGCUUUAAUUAUAAAUUAAUUAUAUUUAUAAUUUUUAUUGGGGCAAUAAGUAUUAUAAUAAUCAAUUCUUAUAUUUAAGAAUAUAUUCUUUUAAAUAUCCAAUUAAAUUGAAUAAUAAAUAAGUUACCAUAGGGAUAACAGGCUUAUUAUUCUAAAGAGUUCAAAUCGAUAGAAUAGUUUGGUACCUCGAUGUUGGCUUAUAAUUUCUUCUUAAAGCAAUAAUU
rnacentral:rRNA from 1 species